rnacentral:rRNA from 1 species
UACGGAGGAUCCAAGCGUUAUCCGGAUUCAUUGGGUUUAAAGGGUGCGUAGGCGGAAGAGUAAGUCAGUGGUGAAAGCCUGCAGCUUAACUGCAGAAUUGCCAUUGAUACUGCUCAUCUUGAGUACAUUUGAUGUGGGCGGAAUGUGUCAUGUAGCGGUGAAAUGCAUAGAUAUGACACAGAACACCGAUUGCGAAGGCAGCUCACAAAACUGUAACUGACGCUGAGGCACGAAAGCGUGGGGAUCAAACAGG